AGCGAACGCUGGCGGCAGGCCUAACACAUGCAAGUCGAACGAACUCUUCGGAGUUAGUGGCGGACGGGUGAGUAACACGUGGGAACGUGCCUUUUGGUUCGGAAUAACUCAGGGAAACUUGUGCUAAUACCGAAUGUGCCCUUCGGGGGAAAGAUUUAUCGCCAUUAGAGCGGCCCGCGUCUGAUUAGCUAGUUGGUGAGGUAACGGCUCACCAAGGCGACGAUCAGUAGCUGGUCUGAGAGGAUGACCAGCCACACUGGGACUGAGACACGGCCCAGACUCCUACGGGAAGCAGCAGUGGGGAAUCUUGCGCAAUGGGCGAAAGCCUGACGUAGCCAUGCCGCGUGAAUGAUGAAGGUCUUAGGAUUGUAAAAUUCUUUCACCGGGGACGAUAAUGACGGUACCCGGAGAAGAAGCCCCGGCUAACUUCGUG
rnacentral:rRNA from 1 species